UCUCUUUUCAUUUCUUUCCUUCUUCUCUUUCUCUCUACAAAUCUAGGGUUGUUGGUUGAAGAAGAAGUGGUGGAGUAGAUUGUUUUGCUGUUUUUGAGCUGAGGAAGAGCUCUUGAGCAGGAAACCAGCUAGGGAAGCUUCCAAACUGAGCAUGUAUACACAUGGGUUUUAGAGAAAGCUCUUGGGAAGGUGAUAUUUUAAACUGAGAAGAAGGUUUUGAGUUGGAAAAAGUCUGGUUGAGAGCAACUUGAGAUGCAGUUUUUAGCUGAGAGGGAGUUCUCGAGCAGGGAUUUCAGCAGGUAGCACCCAAAUUGAGGGAAUUUCGACGUGUUCGGAAGUUUAAAUCGACAUUCCGACGGACCUACGGCGCGCUAAUUAAGAUAAAUCAUGUUUUGCUUUCGUUUGCGGCUGAUCGAAAGGAAUAGGAGUUUAUAAAUUCCGAGGCUCUAGUUCUAGCAUUUUGGUAUCCUUACGAG